CAGAGCUGUUGAUGCCUUUGUUGUAAAUGAACGGUGGUAGUCGUAGAAUGACGAACCACCGUAUUUGUUGCCCAGGUCCACCAGCUUAUGCAUACACAGGUCUAGUCCUCCUCUUUUCUAUGAGGGUACACUGAACAUAGCACAUCCCUGUAAAUCCCGAAGGCAAUUACAAAGUCAGGGAUAGAUUAACUUUCUGCUCAGUCUUGGGUCUCUAGCCUUUAGGACCACCUAGAUGUCGCCGUAUGACUAGGAGCAGUUCUCUACAACAACCUGGGAGGCAAAGAGAAGCGAGACAAGAUUAACGUCUUUGCCCUCCAGGAUGUCUUUCUUAAGGUUCGUGUAAAAAAAUGUAGAUGAGAUUGGGUGUUCAUGUUAAUGUUG